GCCUACGGGACGCAGCAGUCGGGAAUAUUGCGCAAUGGAGGAAACUCUGACGCAGUGACGCCGCGUAUAGGAAGAAGGUUUUCGGAUUGUAAACUAUUGUCAUUAGGGAAGAUAAAAGACUGUACCUAAGGAGGAAGCCACGGCUAACUACGUGCCAGCAGCCGCGGUAAUACGUAGGUGGCAAGCGUUGUCCGGAUUUACUGGGUGUAAAGGGCGUGCAGCCGGGCUGACAAGUCAGAUGUGAAAUCCCGCGGCUCAACCGCGGAACUGCAUUUGAAACUGUCAGUCUUGAGUACCGGAGAGGU
rnacentral:rRNA from 1 species